UUUUUUUUAUUUAGUCCCUCAUAAGUUUCUUUCAUUUAGUUUUUAUACCAGAUUUAGUUCUUAUUAUUUUAAUUGCUAUUUAUUUUAUUUUUAAUUUUGAAUAACUAGGAAUUUUACUUCAUGAUUUUUUUUAUAUUUUUUUUUUAAGAGAUAAUUCUAGUCUUAUGACCCGGUCACGUUUCUUAAAGAUUGACCUAGUUUAACUUUGAUCUCUUUUUAGGGUUUUUUUUUUUAAAAAAACUGAUUUUUUUUCAAUUUUAU
rnacentral:lncRNA from 1 species